UACGGAGGGGGCUAGCGUUGUUCGGAAUUACUGGGCGUAAAGCGCGCGUAGGCGGCUUUGUAAGUCAGAGGUGAAAGCCUGGAGCUCAACUCCAGAACUGCCUUUGAGACUGCAUCGCUUGAAUCAUGGAGAGGUUAGUGGAAUUCCGAGUGUAGAGGUGAAAUUCGUAGAUAUUCGGAAGAACACCAGUGGCGAAGGCGACUAACUGGACAUGUAUUGACGCUGAGGUGCGAAAGCGUGGGGAGCAAACAGGAUUAGAAACCCCCGUAGUCC
rnacentral:rRNA from 1 species